UACGGAGGGUGCAAGCGUUGUCCGGAUUUAUUGGGCGUAAAGGAUGCGUAGAUGGUUCAGUAAGUUACUGGUGGGAAAUCGAGGCCCAACCUCGUGGAAGUUAGUAAUACUGUUGAACUUGAGUGCAGGAGAGGUUAACGGAACUUCAUGUGGAGCGGUAAAAUGCGUAGAUAUAUGAAAGAACAUCAAUAUAGCGAAGGCAGUUAACUAUUCUGCUACUGACAUUGAGGCAUGAAAGCGUGGGGAGCAAAACGG
rnacentral:rRNA from 1 species